UACGUAGGCAGCAAGCGUUGUUCGGAAUUACUGGGCGUAAAGCGAGUGUAGGCAGUUCGAUAAGUUUGGUGUGAAAUCUCCCGGCUCAACUGGGAGGGUGCGCCGAAGACUGUCGAGCUAGAGUGUGGGAGAGGUAGGCGGAAUUCCUGGUGUAGCGGUGAAAUGCGUAGAUAUCAGGAGGAACACCUGCGGUGUAGACGGCUUACUGGACCACGACUGACGCUGCAACUCGAAAGUGUGGGGAGCAAACAGG
rnacentral:rRNA from 1 species